AUUGAACGCUGGCGGCAUGCCUUACACAUGCAAGUCGAACGGUAACAGGUCUUCGGAUGCUGACGAGUGGCGAACGGGUGAGUAAUACAUCGGAACGUGCCCGAUCGUGGGGGAUAACGGAGCGAAAGCUUUGCUAAUACCGCAUACGAUCUACGGAUGAAAGCAGGGGACCGCAAGGCCUUGCGCGGACGGAGCGGCCGAUGGCAGAUUAGGUAGUUGGUGGGAUAAAAGCUUACCAAGCCGACGAUCUGUAGCUGGUCUGAGAGGACGACCAGCCACACUGGGACUGAGACACGGCCCAGACUCCUACGGGAGGCAGCAGUGGGGAAUUUUGGACAAUGGGCGAAAGCCUGAUCCAGCCAUGCCGCGUGCAGGAUGAAGGCCUUUGGGUUGUAAACUGCUUUUGUACGGAACGAAAAGACUCUUUCUAAUAAAGAGGGUCCAUGACGGUACCGUAAGAAUAAGCACCGGCUAACUACGUG
rnacentral:rRNA from 1 species